rnacentral:rRNA from 1 species
UACGGAGGGUGCAAGCGUUGUUCGGAAUCACUGGGCGUAAAGGGCGUGUAGGCGGUCCGCUAAGUCUGAUGUGAAAGCCCGAGGCUUACCCUCGGAAGUGCAUUGGAGACUGGCGGACUGGAGUCCCGGAGAGGAGGGUGGAAUUCCUGGUGUAGCGGUGAAAUGCGUAGAUAUCAGGAGGAACACCGGUGGCGAAGGCGGCCCUCUGGGCCGGUACUGACGCUGAGGAGCGAAAGCGUGGGGAGCAAACAGG